UAUCAGCCUUUUGGGCAUGAUUCUGUGGAGCGUGAGGAGUUAAACGCCUUCAUGCCUGCAUAUUCGUGUACUUUGGGUGUACUUGCCUGUGUGGUUAGUUAACAUCAAUUUUGGUUAUCAUAAAAUGGUCGGAGGAAUGUAGCUUCGAUUUCGAUUGAAGUGUUAUAGCCUUCGGCAGAUGUGAUGAUCGGGAUUGAGGAUUGCAACGGAUACCCUUCGGGGCUACCUGUCUGGUCUCUGAUCGUUGCUUUGGUGCCGAAAGCGUGCUUACGGUUAUCAAAGUCGAUGGUCAAUAGGUUAGAACGGGUUAAAUUCGUUAAGGAUGUUGACGUA
rnacentral:rRNA from 1 species